rnacentral:rRNA from 1 species
GAGAGUUAAACAGUACGUGAAAUUGUUGAAAGGGAAACGAUUGAAGCCAGUCGUACCUUCGGGUAAUCAGCCUUUUCGGGUGCGAUUCUGUGGGGUUUGAUGAGCUUAACACCUUCAUGCUCUGCAUAUUCGUGCUCUUGGGUGUACUUGCCCGUGUGGUUGGUUAACAUCAAUUUUGGUGGUCAUAAAAUGACUGGAGGAAUGUAGCUUCGAUCUUGUAUUGAAGUGUUAUAGCCUUCGGUAGAUGUGAUGAUCGAGAUUGAGGAUUGCAACGGAUACCCUUCGGGGCUACCUGUCUGAUCUCUGAUCGUUGCUCUGGUGCCGAAAGCUUGCUUACGGUUAUCAAAGUCGAUGGUCAAUAGGUUAGAAUGGGUUAAAUUCGUUAAGGAUGUUGACGUAAUGGCUUUAAACGA